rnacentral:rRNA from 1 species
AAUAGAUACCCAGGUAGUCCACGCCGUAAACGAUGAGUGCUAAGUGUUAGAGGGUUUCCGCCCUUUAGUGCUGCAGCUAACGCAUUAAGCACUCCGCCUGGGGAGUACGGUCGCAAGACUGAAACUCAAAGGAAUUGACGGGGGCCCGCACAAGCGGUGGAGCAUGUGGUUUAAUUCGAAGCAACGCGAAGAACCUUACCAGGUCUUGACAUCCCACUGACCGGUAUAGAGAUAUACCUUUCCCUUCGGGGACAGUGGUGACAGGUGGUGCAUGGUUGUCGUCAGCUCGUGUCGUGAGAUGUUGGGUUAAGUCCCGCAACGAGCGCAACCCUUGAUCUUAGUUGCCAGCAUUUAGUUGGGCACUCUAAGGUGACUGCCGGUGACAAACCGGAGGAAGGUGGGGAUGACGUCAAAUCAUCAUGCCCCUUAUGACCUGGGCUACACACGUGCUACGAAUGGAUGGUACAAAGGGCUGCAAGACUGCGAAGUCAAGCCAAUCCCAUAAAACCAUUCUCAGUUCGGAUUGCAGGCG